UCUACAAUGUCUGGUAGCGACUAACAAUAUAAUAAGCGAGCAGCCCCGGGCAACAGAAAAAAAGAGUUAAUCUGUCAUGGUACGAUGACGGCUGUAAUAAAUGGUUUGAAUGGAGGCAGCGAGCAGCGACGAUUUAUUAGAUAAGUGUUUUCACGCCAACGGAUGAUCACGAGUGAACGAGGAGACUUCGAGCCAGCCGGUGGUUAUUAGCGAGUUAAUAUUUAAUAAAUUCGACACACCGGAGCGCAUCCUUUGAACUCUUUCGGGCUCUGAGAAGCAUUGAGGAGUGAGAACCGGAGGGGACUGGAUGAGUGUUAACAGGGAUCAAUCAGUGCUGCAGGGUAGUAACAGUUGUUGCCGUAUGUUGACAAGAAGCGUCUGACGGUGUGAUUUUGAAGAGCGAUUUACGUCUUAAGUUGUUCACUUCCAUCCGAUGUUUAUGUUCCACUAUAUCCUUUUAUUCAGUGACGUUUUUGUAAAUGCAAAUGCAUACACAGUGCUCGUGAAAUUGGUUCCAAAGCGACUAAGAGCCCCCACUAUGUUGAAGUGUUGAAGGUGGGCAACAAUGUUUCCAAGAAUAUGAAUAAUACUAUGUACUUCCUGAUGACUCAACAAAUUACCAUAAAGUAUUUUUGGAAGUUGGCCUUAAAAUUAUAUGCAGUACAAUCAUUCAUCAUAAACAAAUCGGAGAUAAGUAUUCGUUUUUUUACAUCAUUACAUCAGUCACCUCGAUCGGGAAACUGUUUUCAUAUUCCCGCCAAGGAUAAACAUCAGUUAUAUUCUAUACAUUACAACACUAUUGACCUUUUUCCUUGUCUUUACAGCUGGCAUGAUCCCAGACUCGUAAUACUUGUUUACCAAAAACCAUCCAAGCUAUGGGACUGAAGGUAACGGCGAGUUGGAAUCUUUCUUGAACACAUCAUCGACCGUAAAAAAAUUAAGGGACACGAGAGAACAAAAUACGGAUGAAACGUGCUAAUUCUACCGCCACUCUGCUAAUCAGCUAAUGCAAAUCAGAGCGAUGCAGCAGGAAGAGGAACGGGAACUUGCUUUGGAAAUGCUCAUGAAAUUGAGGCUGCGAUUAAAAUUUGCCUCUUGUACGCAGUUUAUAGAAUGAUUUCAAAUGGAGGCGAUCUGGCGUAGUGGUAACAUCCAUGCCUCUCACGCUAAAGGUCACGAGUUCAAUUCUCACUCCCGACAUUCUUCCAAAAAUGGAAGUAAAAAGUGACGAACCAGCCAAAUGAGUUGAAAGUCACUAUAAUACAGAUAAUAAAAUAAGAAUGAUUUCA